AUUUUACCCUCCCAACCAUACGAGACAGCUAGACACUCUAAAGCCCCGGCAACAGAGACAGGGCGCUGAAGCCUAAGCCGUGAAGAGACAGUUUAGCUUGUGUCGUGCCAACUUUGCUUGAGGGUCUCGUCAGCGGAAGACUGUUAUGACCACUUGAUCCAACUUCCAGUCAUCGUGAUUAAGAGUCUUGUCGCAAAUUGAAAAGUCACGUCAAGUGUGGCAGUGACGUCUUUAAAAACAGGUGACAAGACAAGUUGCUAAAGAAAGUCAGCAGACUGAGAAAUACUGACUUGCAGCAAAAAAGUUAUACCACAAAAAUGAACCAGCCUGGAAAUCGGCAUGGAAGAAAAUGCACAGCAUAUACGUGACCCUGGACCACAAAACCAUGAGUAGCCCUACCUAAACGUAUAAGAUAAGGUGAAACUUCUAAUUCGGCUUUGCAGCAAGACAUAGCGAGUAUUUCUACAUGAUCACAUGAGUCUAAACAGGUGUGGCGAUUAUAGAGAUCCGGGGGGGGCUCCUGUCAAGGAUGCACACCAUGUUUGUGCGCACAAAUCCUUUACUUACCGCAGGCUGUCAGCCAGAAUUGUAAAGAGCUCCAUUACAAACAACCGUAAAGCUUAUGUAGUCGCCGCAACCUGUGUGGCAUCUCCAUGCAGUGAGUUAUGGUCUUUAAAUAUAUAGGAGCGACUGGAAAGGAAACAAUGCGCACUGACCUCACCUCUACCUCUCUCUGCCUCAGAGGAAGUGUAAAAGUGUGCUCACGUGUUUACACUCUAGAUGCACACCGGUGUGUUCUGCUGCUGAAACGAUGCCCCGUGACUUCAAAGCACUCCUGUCUUUUACAUUCAAGGC